rnacentral:lncRNA from 1 species
AAGCUCUUAAGUGUCGCACCCCUUACUUGGGCCGCUUAUUUGUGUCGUAGCCCCGCCCACCAGAGAUGCAUGAAGAAGUGCGAGGAAAAGAAGAGAGGAGGGGGCGAGCGAGGAAAUUUGACAGAGGAGACAUUUUUAUUAAGGCUGACUCUUUUCAUGAAUGAAAGGAGAAAAUAAAUCUGUUUAUUUGUGUCCCACUGAUCCAUCAUAACAGACAAGAAGACUGUCACCUUAAAGGUCAAAAAAAUGUAAUAUGUAAAACUAGGUUAGGUUAGGAUCAUUUCUUUAUCAUUUCCCUGAAGUAAUAAUCAUCAUAUUGAUCAUUUUACAGACGCGGUAGUUCUUCUGUCUUAGCGUCUCGGUCUGAUUGUAUUUCCAUUAAGUAAUGAUCAUAAAUGUUCUUCCUUGAGCUGCGGCACCCCGCUGUAGUCCGUAAUGGACUGGCCUGAGGUCUCUCUACAAACAAGCGUCUGCUGGAAGAGAGUAGGUGAGUUGUGUUUAGUCUCUUUGCUAAAGAAAUGAGUCAAAGUUAAAAAGAUGUUUGGUGUCUAGUACUAUGUCUGUGACCCUAUAUGUACUAACCUCAGUAGAACAUGAUGUAGUUUUGUUCAGUAACAGAACCUCAUUGGAAAAUUAGCUGAUUUAACUUUACUGUGCUCUUGUUCAAAUAUAUUAACUCAACAGCACAUAAAUCCAUACCUGUUAACAAAAUCAUGAUUUUAUUGAUAAUUCGGCUCAAUAAAAACACCUUUACCUUUUCAUUUUACUACAGUAGAAGUUUAUUGGCCCAGUUUAUAGACUACAGAAGUGGAGAAAUGCCCCCGCUUAAGUUUAUGUUUUCUUAGGAGUUAGAACAACUCUGAAUAUAGUACUAUGUCUGUGACCCUAUAUGUCCUGUUGAUGAAGUUAGGUGCUGUUCUGAGCAUUAUUUGUGGCUAUAGAGUGGCGUUUUGGUUGAGGUUUGUUUAUGGCUCCUCAGACCGCUGUCCUGCGGUCAUUACUAAAGUUGGUAUAACUAGAGAAGCAAGCGGUCGACAACAUUCAUCUCUGGAGGGGGGGUCUAACUCGGUGUUACAAUGUGUUUGACCCUAAAUUAAUUUUACACCUGAAUAUCCCUUUAAAGGGAAAUUUACACCUAAACUGAGACGGUUUCUCUCGUUCAGUAACAUGGCAGACCUGACUCCAUCUGUGUCCUAGCUCCAGUGCGUGCUCUCCCUAAAAAAUAUCCCUUUAAGGUUUUUCCUUUUCUGAGUGUGUCUGCAGACGAGCAUAUUUCAAUCAAACAAAUAAAAUAAAUCUAUCUAUAUGUAUCUAUAUAUAUCUGAACAUGUGUCUGUGUCUCCAUAACAGCUGUUCAGUCUGAAACCCGGAUCAUUAUCAGCCCAGAGUUCCUGCUCUCUGACCAUGACCUGCUGACCACAGUGAUUAAUUCAUCUCAUUAUCAAAGGCUCCACUUUAUAAUGUUUAGAGAGUUAAAUAAUGAACACAGUCUGUUAUAUAACUCUGUGACUGACUGCAGAGUUAUGAAAGAAAUCACUGAGAUAAGGUCUGAUAAUAAAGCGUCUGUAAAUCAAGAGUUUCUGAUUGAAUGGAGCUUUUCUUCUCUGUUUGUUCACAUGAAAAGUAAUGAACGAUAACGGUUAUAUAACACACUUCAUUAUGAGUCUGACAUGAGUCACAGAGAGAGAGUCUGAUAACGUCUGAACGUCAGGGAAAUCAAACUCACUAAAUAAACUUUCUAUUUAUUGUUAUUUUAUUGAGUUUGCCCUUAUCUGAAUCAGCCUUUCAGUUAGUUUUUAUUUUAUUUUAAUCAUUUUAUUUCGAUCAAAUUCAUUUUUAUGUGGUAAUUAUAUUCAAAUCAUUUUAAUUUGGUCUUAUUUGAUUUAAAAUCAUAUGUUAUUUGGAGCAGCUGUAAUAAAUUAAGUCUUUAAAAAGAAAUUAUUUAUCCAAUUUAAAUCAGGUUUUUAUUUUAUUUCUAUCUUAUUUAGAACAGUUUAUUUAAUGUCUUAUUAAAUUAGGUUUUAAUUUUUAUUUCUAUGUCACUUAAAUCAUCUUUUUGUUUAGUUUUAAUUUUAAUUCGUUUUUUAUUUAAAUUUAAUUUUAUUCAGAACAUUUUUUUAUUUCUAUUUAAACUGAGUUUUCAGUUUAAUUUCUUUUUGACUUAUUUCAGCUUUUUAUUUAGUUUUUAUUUCAAUUAGGUUUUUAUUUGGAGCAGCUCUUAUAAUUUAAUUUUUAGACAGAAAUACUUUCAAGUUUUAAGACACGUUUUAAGUCAUUUUUACUCUCAUUCAUUUGAUUAAAUAAAAAGUCCUCAUAUCAUAUUUCAGACCUUAUAUCUCUAAUUUAAUUAACCAGAAUCUUUCAUAUGAAACUUUUUAGACAAUAAAAUGUCACACAAAGUUUUAAGUGUAAGAAUAAAAUCAAGCGAACAGACAGUGUUAGGUAAAAGUCAAUGAAACAGACUGAAAUUCAAAGUCAGAUAAAACAUCAUGACUUCUUUUAAAAUCCACUCAGUCUGUGAGUCCGGCAGUUUUCAGGUGAUAAACUUGGACAUCAGGAACUUUUCCUGAACAGAGACGGAGGGACCCUAAACUUCUGUAAAACCUCCAGUCCACUUUUCUGACAGUCUGAACUUCACAGAGACACCUCUCCGAAAAUCAUCACGACAUUAUAAAAGAGCUCUGUGUCCAAACAUCAGAAUUCCUGCUCACACACACACACACACACACACACACACACACACACACACACACACACACACACACACUCUUAAGAUGUGUGUGUGUGUGUGUGUGUGUGUGUGUGUGUGUCUUACAUGCUCCUCUCUCAGCCUCUAACUGAACCCUUCAGUCUGUGACCUUCACUGACCUCUGAACAGAGCAGACCUUCUUCUAUGUACAGGAACCAGCUGAUUAUAGACCACGCCCACCAGGAACCAGACCACCGCCGAC